AGCUCUUAUUUUUGACGUGGUAAAAAAGUGUACUUUUGAUUCUCAGUGUAAAAGUUACGAUCCACAACUUUUCUGUAGGAACGGGCGGAAAGAGAACGGUUUCAAAUUAUGAUCCACUCUGUUUACUGUUUUGCUGUCAAAAAGGAUUCAUCAAAAACAACUCGAAUUUUAUUUUCCAGCUUAUUUGAAUCGAACUUGCGCCAACUUGUGCUACCCGUCCUUUGGAAUUGCAAAAUUCAAGAAUUUCUUCGGACAUCCAACAACCUGAACAACGAGAGGGGUUUCGAGAGAUGACCAACGCGUACUCUAGCUCGGACAUGAUUCCUUCGGUGUACGCCGAAAACGUUGACUUCAGGUACACCUGACCAUCUGCUACAGGAAGACGACUCCCGUUGUGUAAGACUCGGAGAUGAAGUACCGUUUUGUUGAUCACCAUCUCAAUAAGCAUCCUGCAUGCGAUUCCGGGAACCUUCGACACCAAACCUUCGAGCACUAAAAGGCACAGCUGAAGCGUAUUGUAGACCUAGCCGUGGGCUCCGUCGGCGGCCAAUCACAGCGGCGAUGUUUCAUCUCGAUUUGGCCGGUCCAAGAUUGUCGUCAAUGUGUGGGAAAUGGAGCAAUAAAAAUAAUUGUUCUUAACUAGAGACCCGGCAGAGUCUUAACUGUAUCGUGGAAUGUGCAAACAAAUAAAUGUGAAUAGUUCU
rnacentral:lncRNA from 1 species